rnacentral:lncRNA from 1 species
GGAUCCGAGUCCCCGUCCGUCCACACCGUCGCGCUCCAACUACCCAGUACGCGGCUACGCGCUGCAUCCGCGUCUCUCCGCCCUUACGGCUUCCGCGCGCCCGCUUGGUUUUCGCCGCAUUCUCGCCGCCCUCCCUCUCGCCCGCUCGCCCUCGCCAUCCUCGACCAGCUGAUCCUCCCCGCCGUCCCACCGUCCUCCCCCACCGUCCCGCGCCGCCACCGCCAUCGAUCCUCCCCGCCGCCCACGCCAUCCUCCACCAGAUCGCUCCCCCACUGCCGCCGCCAUCAAUCGUCCCCGCCGUCCUCGUCGCCGCCAUCGCCGUCUUCCCCCACCAGCUUCGACGCCAUCGAUCCUCCCCGCCGCCCUCUCUUUCAUCCUCCACCAGCUCCCUCCCCCACCGUCACCGUGAUUCCCCUAACCGACCAGCGCCGCCGCCUCCAUCGAUCCUCCCCGCCGCCCUCGCCUUUCUCCUCCACCAGGUCCCUCCCGCACCGCCGCCACCGCCACCAUCGAUACUCGCCGCCGUCCUCGCCGUCCCUGGACGCCGGAGCCCUCCCUUCCCUCUCCACCGCGCCGCUAUCGAUCCACGGCCGAACAGGCCCUUUUGCUGAUAUUACUAAUGCAAGUGCCGGGGAUUCACCAAAAAAUCGUAACAGUAUUGGGGUCUCCACACCAACAUUGUUAACAACAUCAACCCCUUUUGCCGAUAUUACUAAUGCAAGUGCAGGGGAUUCACGAAUAGACCAUGGCAGUGACAGAUGCACAUCCUCCAAUGUGCCGCAAAAGGAAAAUAUGCAAAGUAUAAAUGCGAAAUGUAAAAGAUGCAAGUUAUGAUUUUCCAUUUUGUACCUAUUAGAGUUAACAUAAUUUGCAAGUGUGCACAAAAUGCAAGAAGAUGGUGCUAAUCUCAGCGCAUUAGAAUUAAGAAGGAAGCGUGCUAGAGAGAGGUACGCAUCAAUGAGCCCAAAGAAAAAGGAGGCAAGGAAAAUGAAGGCCUGUGUGUACAAGCAACAAAAGGAGGAAUAUCCAGAAAAUGAGCAUGUACAAUCGUUUGUCAUACCUCACUGCCUCCCAUUUAAUGAGACAGGUACAUUGAUGCAAAUUUAUUGACAACUAAGAAUACUCUGCUUGGAGGAUGAUCCCCUGGUCAACGACGUAGUAAUAUGCCCGUGCAUCUUGUUAUUUAGAUACAGAUCUUAGCUAGGAUUUGGGAUGAAAGCAAAAAAGGAUGUAUUAACAUGUAUAAGGGUCAGAGGACCAAUUAGAACAAUCAGAUUUAUAUUCCGGGGAUUCAUGUAUUCUGGACAGCCGGGGAUUCAUGUAUUCUGGACAAAAAAAAAUGUUUAAAUCUGCAAAUAUUAUUUCCAUAUUUUGAAAUUAGAUAGGAUGUAGAACUUCCUGCUACUACUGGUGUUUCAAUA